UGCUUCCGUCUGCUCCGAGCCAAAUCCUACGCCUCGUGGUCGUCACGUGACGAAGGCCGCCCAAUCACGUUCGCUCCCCUCUCGUUGGUUCUUCUGCUCGCCGCUUGGCCUUUCGGGAAGGGUGGAGGACAAAAACGGUGGGAUGAGGAGCGCUGUGUUGACUAGCCCCGCAGCCUAAGGAAACAGUGUGAGUGUGCCUUUGCUUCAGGUCAAAGGACGCCGGGCACAAGAACAGAGAGAGCUUUUAACUUCAUUCACUAGAGGGUGACCUCAUCUGAGCACGUCCUGGUCAGCAUGCCAACCUCCACCCCCUCCUAAAAAGGUGGUAAACGCAAGCAACUUUCUUGGGCGUGUGAAAGGACAAACCGGGGACAAUAAUCCUGCCAGCUCCGAGCCCGAAAUUCGACAGCCGACUAUACGGCAGAUCUUACUGUAGGGAGAGUCAUGAGCCCGAAUUAACUUGAAAGAAAAGAAAAAGGAAGGGAA